CCUACCGGAGGCAGCAGUGGGGAAUCUUCCACAAGGGACGAAAGUGUAAUCGAGCCCAGCCGCGUAGCAAGAAGGCGUUCGGAUGGUAAAGCUAUGUAGGAGGGAGGAACAAGUACCCCCUAACCCGCGACAAGACGGUACCUCAGAAAAGCACCGCUAUUUCG
rnacentral:rRNA from 1 species